UUGUAGAAGACCGAAGAACGCGUCCGAGAAAACCUGGGCACUAACGCUAUAGAGCUACUCUUGGUACUUUUAGGGCCUCCGGGAAGGGGAUGUGGUUGUGUUUCAGGGACAUGUAACGACUGCCCUCGGAGAAUUCCGGGAAUCUCACACGAGAGCGGAAACCCCCAGUCGGAACGUGAGGAAACCGUUGUCAGGUCCCCUAAAGGUAAACAGGGAUGGCUGCGCCCACCGUACUGCACCAUCGGUAGAAAGGGCAUCGAGUCGCUAUGGCCCUGGUGUCGUCCCUAAACUCGAGGUUGGGGUCACGCAGCCGCGGAGAGAGCUUUUCAAAUUCCAUCUUGUCGUUGCGAGGGACCCGCUACGCGUCUACAGACGGGCUUGGUCGGAUCGGGGUUUCUUCCCUCCUCCCUUCCUGCGCAGCCGUCUGCUUCUCUGGAGACUCCAGGCAGAGACGGGAAGGGCAAGGUGGCUGAGGUGGAAACGUGAGAAAGAGGCCUUCUGUGUCCUGGGACUCGUAGAAAGAGUUUGAAGCUCCUGUUUUUCUAAUAUCUAGAAUUCGAAUUUCGUGAAAGCCCUUCCAUUCCCACAUUCUGUGUUGAAGACAAGAAAGGAUGCAGACCCGGAACCCAAGGCCCAAGAGGAUGACCCCCCCGGGGUGGAGAACGCAGCCGGCUCCCCUGGUCCGGGCGCGGGCUAUGGCUGAGUGCGAGAGGCGCCUUCCAGUGUGCGUUUCCUGGGCCACCUGGGGAGGCCAGGAGCGCAGUACGCACGUGGGUAACGAGUACGCUUCGAUUGAAGAACUAGUGCUGCCUUUUACUAACUCUUGUGCAGUCGCGGCUUCUUAACUUUCCUGAGUUAAAGUGGUAUGAAUAUACCCACUUUAACCAUUGGCCCGAGGGCAUAGAUGUCCUAACUGAAUUCAGGAAUGCUUCCCUGCUCGCUGCCCUGGAACAGGUGUUAGUCCUUCAUUCAGAGGCUAUGUCCUCCACCUGUGCUCAGCGCUGACUCCAAUCCGUACGUCUCCGAUCCCCACUCUCAAUUUGAAAACGAAACAGACCACCGAAAAUUUUUCCAUACCCUGUGCUCCACGCUACAAGUUUCUCUCUCCCCACCUCUUCUAGCAAAGUGCUAGAAAUAAUGGAACCUGUUCGCUGACUGCAUUGGUUACCUAACCUCUCACCCCUAGCAGGGAAGCUUUGUCACUCACGCUUUCUUCCCCAGCAGUGACCUAACAUUGCUCUUUCUGUGGAGGUUACCGGUGACCUCCUAAAUGCCAAAUUCAAGUACAAUUGGCAUGUAUUUGUAUCUUUAUCUCUCUGGCAUUUGACAAAUUGUAUUACCUUCCCUUUCCCUUUUAUAUUUUUCCAUUUACUUAAGUAAUGUAUUAUGAUUAAUGAAAAUUGUCAUAAAUUGUCAUUAAACUCAAAAUAUGACCAUUGAUAA